ACAAACUCUCCCGGCACUUCUGUCGCUCCGGCCAGAAGACGUCCAAUUCCAGGGGGGAGUAUCACAAACUCUCCCGACACUUCUGUCGCUUUGGCCAGAAGUCGUCAAAAUUCAAGGGGGGAGUAUCACAAGCUCUCCCGACACUUCUGUCGCUUUGGCCAGAAGUCGUCAAAUUUCAGGGGAAGAGUAUCAAAAACUCUCCCAACGCUUCUGUCGCUCCGGCCAGAGGUCAUCACACU
rnacentral:lncRNA from 1 species